GCAGAUAUACUCUACUGGUUGAGUGGUGCUCUGUAAAAGCACUGGUUACAAUACCAUACUGGGUUCAAGUCCCUGAUCUGCA
rnacentral:tRNA from 1 species